GACGAACGCUGGCGGCAUGCCUUACACAUGCAAGUCGAACGGUAACGGGCCUUCGGGUGCCGACGAGUGGCGAACGGGUGAGUAAUGCAUCGGAACGUACCUUUCAGUGGGGGAUAACGUAGCGAAAGUUACGCUAAUACCGCAUAUUCUGUGAGCAGGAAAGCAGGGGAUCGCAAGACCUUGCGCUGUUUGAGCGGCCGAUGUCAGAUUAGCUAGUUGGCGGGGUAAGAGCCCACCAAGGCGACGAUCAGUAGCUGGUCUGAGAGGACGACCAGCCACGCUGGGACUGAGACACGGCCCAGACUCCUACGGGAGGCAGCAGUGGGGAAUUUUGGACAAUGGGCGCAAGCCUGAUCCAGCCAUGCCGCGUGCGGGAAGAAGGCCUUCGGGUUGUAAACCGCUUUUGGCAGGAACGAAACGGCGCAAGCCAAUACCUUGCGCUAAUGACGGUACCUGCAGAAUAAGCACCGGCUAACUACGUGCCAGCAGCCGCGGUAAUAC
rnacentral:rRNA from 1 species